UACGGAGGGUGCGAGCGUUGUCCGGAAUCAUUGGGCGUAAAGGGCGCGUAGGUGGCGGGACAAGCGUGCGGUGAAAGCUCGGGGCUCAACCCCGCGUCGGCCGUGCGAACUGUUUUGCUUGAGCACUGUAGAGGCAGGCGGAAUUCCGGGUGUAGCGGUGGAAUGCGUAGAGAUCCGGAAGAACACCGGUGGCGAAGGCGGCCUGCUGGGCAGUAGCUGACACUGAGGCGCGACAGCGUGGGGAGCAAACAGGG
rnacentral:rRNA from 1 species